rnacentral:misc_RNA from 1 species
CUUUCUACGGAGAAUGUUUUGAGUGCCUGGCAUGGUGCCGCGGGGAUUGUCCCUGCGGGUGCCGGGCGUGCUGGCGUGGAACGGUCGUUGCGUUCCCGCGGGGUUUCCCCGUGGGGCGGGUACGGGCAUGCUGUUGGGUUCCCUGGCCGCCACGGCCCCUUGUCGGGGGGUCGGCGUACAGGUGCCCGCCAUGGGUUCCCGUCCUCUUGUGUGGGGGUGGGGUCGUGUGGUGUGGCGUGGUGGUUUGAGAACUGGAUAGUGGACGCGAGCGGACCAUGCCGCGGCCUUGCGGGGUCGCGUGGUUGUGGUCUGCUUGUACUGAUGUAUUUCGACCGGGUCCCCUUUUUGUUGGGGGUCUGGUUGUUGUUUGAUCGUUUUGUGAUCGCAGAGUGUUGAUGAUCUGUCGUCCGGUGUUCGUUGGUCUUGCGGGUCCCCCUGUUGUGG